GAUGGGAGGAUCAGGUUACUGCCCUAUAGGGUCCUGGUCUGAAGUCGUGCCCUAUAAAGGGAUUAGGGUGCCAUGUGGGAUAUAGAUAACCAGUUCACUAACUAACCCUCUGCUGUAAAAUAAAAAAACAAAAAAAAAGUGUUAUUUUUUAUUAGAUAUAUAUAUAUAUAUGUAUAUGUGUUUGCUUUUUAUUUUGAGACUGUUUACCUCCUGACAUGUAGGUCUGCUCUCACCUAGUGCCCAGAAAUAUAUCUCCUAAUAUGCCCUGUAGUCCACAGUAGAGCAUAUGAUCUGUUCUGAUUGCUUGUCUGAGAUGGUAUCGCCCGUUGUCCACCCUCUACCUUUUUCUGAGAUGGUAUCGCCUGUUAUCUCCUUACUUCAGCAGGGGAGAAGUGUAUUCAAUCAGUCAGUACCAAUUCUCUCCCCACCCCUUCCCCUUGGCUAACACCUUGCAGAUCUACCAACAUUGAAUGUAUAGGGCCAAAUGAAAAUGCUAGGGAGUGAAUUGGAACUGGCCCUCAACUUAUUCUCCCUGNNNNNNNNNNAUAGGGAAUAGGGUGCUAUUCAGUACGCAGGCUUGGUGAGAGUAGCGGUCUGUGCUGGUUCUUGGUCCAUCCUGGGACUAGUACUGCCUGGACAAGAGGCUCUGUCUUGGUACCCGGAUGGGAGUGUGAAGGAUCAUGCAGGGCUGGUGGACAACUGGUGCUCCGGAGUGAAGGGAAACAAUCUGUGCCAUGGUGAGACAUUCCACCACCUAAAGGCUGUGCUUGGAAACCAGAUGAUGUGUUCUGUUUCUCUCCCUCUCAACUAUUUGUUCAUUUUGCAUGCAGUGUUACAGAGUAGAGAACUACACCGUAGUUAAACUAGUAAUGUAUUAGCUACUGUAGCUUGGUGGUAGUUCAACUGAACUCAAAUCUUCCUGGUGUUUUCAGUGGUUCAUUCCCGUUUUCGUCUAAUAGGCUACAUUGCACAUUCUUUUUAACGUCUGACUCCAAAGUGAAGAGAGUCUGACAUUUCCGAUUCAUAACGAAGUAGUUUGAGGUUAACUGCUUUUUUUUUUCCAAAGUAACUUCAGUUAGAUAAACUAUAUUCUGAAGGACGGCUUUACUAUAGCUUGACUUCCCC
rnacentral:lncRNA from 13 species